rnacentral:rRNA from 1 species
GAUGAACGCUAGCUACAGGCUUAACACAUGCAAGUCGAGGGACCGGCGCAUGGGUGAGUAACACGUAUCCAACCUGCCCUUUACGCGGGGAUAGCCUUUCGAAAGAAAGAUUAAUACCCUAUAUAAAGGAUGGGGAUGCGUUCCAUUCGUUUGUUGGUGAGGGAACGGCUCACCAAGCCUUCGAUGGAUAGGGGUUCUGAGAGGAAGGUCACCCACAUCGGAACGGAGACACGGUCCAAACGCCUACGGGAGGCAGCAGUGAUGGAUAUUGGUGCACGGGCGCUAGCCUGAACCAGCCAAGUAGCGUGAAGGAUGAAGGCUUAUGGGUCUUAAACUCCUUUUAUAUAAGAAUAUGUAUUAUAUGAAUAAGGAUCGGCUAACUCCGUGCCAGCAGCCGUGGUAAUAC